rnacentral:rRNA from 1 species
GACGAACGCUGGCGGCGUGCUUAACACAUGCAAGUCGAACGGAAAGGCCUGCUUUCCCUUGUGGAUUGCGGGUACUCGAGUGGCGAACGGGUGAGUAACACGUGAGUGAUCUGCCCCCAACUUGGGUAUAAGCCUGGGAAACUGGGUCUAAUUCCCGAUAGGACUGCAGGGUGGUGCCUGUGGUGGAAAACGAUUUUCUAGUGGUUGGGGGUGAGCUCGCGGCCUAUCAGCUUGUUGGUGGGGUAAUGGCCUACCAAGGCGGCGACGGGUAGCCGGCCUGAGAGGGUGGACGGCCACAUUGGGACUGAGAUACGGCCCAGACUCCUACGGGAGGCAGCAGUGGGGAAUAUUGCACAAUGGGCGGAAGCCUGAUGCAGCGACGCCGCGUGGGGGAUGACGGCCUUCGGGUUGUAAACUCCUUUCGACCGCGAGGAAGCCACCUGGUUGGAAGGGUGGUGACGGUAGUGGUAGAAGAAGCACCGGCUAACUACGU